GGUCAGGUGAGUGGCUAACAUUAUCGCCUCUCACAGCUUACUUAAGGGUCACGUGACCGCGAUAGCCCGGGGUUCGAUUCCCCGCAUCG